rnacentral:rRNA from 1 species
UUGAAGAGUUUGAUCAUGGCUCAGAUUGAACGCUGGCGGCAGGCCUAACACAUGCAAGUCGAACGGUAACAGGAAGAAGCUUGCUUCUUUGCUGACGAGUGGCGGACGGGUGAGUAAUGUCUGGGAAACUGCCUGAUGGAGGGGGAUAACUACUGGAAACGGUAGCUAAUACCGCAUAACGUCGCAAGACCAAAGAGGGGGACCUUCGGGCCUCUUGCCAUCGGAUGUGCCCAGAUGGGAUUAGCUAGUAGGUGGGGUAACGGCUCACCUAGGCGACGAUCCCUAGCUGGUCUGAGAGGAUGACCAGCCACACUGGAACUGAGACACGGUCCAGACUCCUACGGGAGGCAGCAGUGGGGAAUAUUGCACAAUGGGCGCAAGCCUGAUGCAGCCAUGCCGCGUGUAUGAAGAAGGCCUUCGGGUUGUAAAGUACUUUCAGCGGGGAGGAAGGGGUAAAGUUAAUACCUUUGCUCAUUGACGUUACCCGCAGAAGAAGCACCGGCUAACUCCGUGCCAGCAGCCGCGGUAAUACGGAGGGUGCAAGCGUUAAUCGGAAUUACUGGGCGUAAAGCGCACGCAGGCGGUUUGUUAAGUCAGAUGUGAAAUCCCCGGGCUCAACCUGGGAACUGCAUCUGAUACUGGCAAGCUUGAGUCUCGUAGAGGGGGGUAGAAUUCCAGGUGUAGCGGUGAAAUGCGUAGAGAUCUGGAGGAAUACCGGUGGCGAAGGCGGCCCCCUGGACGAAGACUGACGCUCAGGUGCGAAAGCGUGGGGAGCAAACAGGAUUAGAUACCCGGUAGUCCACGCCGUAAACGAUGUCGACUUGGAGGUUGUGCCCUUGAGGCGUGGCUUCCGGAGCUAACGCGUUAAGUCGACCGCCGGGGAGUACGGCCGCAAGGUUAAAACUCAAAUGAAUUGACGGGGCCCGCACAAGCGGUGGAGCAUGUGGUUUAAUUCGAUGCAACGCGAAGAACCUUACCUGGUCUUGACAUCCACGGAAGUUUUCAGAGAUGAGAAUGUGCCUUCGGGAACCGUGAGACAGGUGCUGCAUGGCUGUCGUCAGCUCGUGUUGUGAAAUGUUGGGUUAAGUCCCGCAACGAGCGCAACCCUUAUCCUUUGUUGCCAGCGGUCCGGCCGGGAACUCAAAGGAGACUGCCAGUGAUAAACUGGAGGAAGGUGGGGAUGACGUCAAGUCAUCAUGGCCCUUACGACCAGGGCUACACACGUGCUACAAUGGCGCAUACAAAGAGAAGCGAACUCGCGAGAGCAAGCGGACCUCAUAAAGUGCGUCGUAGUCCGGAUUGGAGUCUGCAACUCGACUCCAUGAAGUCGGAAUCGCUAGUAAUCGUGGAUCAGAAUGCCACGGUGAAUACGUUCCCGGGCCUUGUACACACCGCCCGUCACACCAUGGGAGUGGGUUGCAAAAGAAGUAGGUAGCUUAACCUUCGGGAGGGCGCUUACCACUUUGUGAUUCAUGACUGGGGUGAAGUCGUAACAAGGUAACCGUAGGGGAACCUGCGGUUGGAUCACCUCCUU